CCUACGGGAGGCUGCCGUAGGGAAUAUUGCGCAAUGGGGGAAACCCUGACGCAGCAACGCCGCGUGAGUGAGGAAGGUCUUCGGAUUGUAAAACUCUUUUAUCAGGGAAAAAUGGUCAUGGAGCUAAUACCCCAUGAUUUGAUGGUACCUGAGGAAUAAGCACCGGCUAACUUCGUGCCAGCAGCCGCGGUAAUACGAAGGGUGCAAGCGUUAUUCGGAAUCAUUGGGCGUAAAGCGCGCGCAGGCGGAUUAAUAAGUCAGGUGUGAAAUCUCGAGGCUCAACCUCGAAACUGCGCCUGAAACUAUUAGUCUAGAAUGUCGGAGGGGGCAGGGGAAUUUCACGUGUAGGGGUAAAAUCCGUAGAGAUGUGAAGGAACACCGGAGGCGAAGGCGCCUGCCUGGACGACUAUUGACGCUGAGGCGCGAAAGCGUGGGGAGCAAACA
rnacentral:rRNA from 1 species